rnacentral:misc_RNA from 1 species
AAAGUCGUAACAAGGUUUCCGUAGGUGAACCUGCGGAAGGAUCAUUAACACGUAUCCAUACGUAUUAUAUACCAAACCGUGAACUUGUUUGUAAAUAACGAAAAGUGGGAUUGGGAAACUAAUCUCACUUUGUAACUUAUUACAACUUUAUAAACCACUUGUAACCAUAUCGAACUAAACCUAAGAAUGUGAUUGCUUUAUGCAAUGACAAUCUGUAUUUACGAAACGUAAAAACAAUUCUUAGCAACGGAUAUCUUGGUUCUC